rnacentral:rRNA from 1 species
ACGCACGCUGGCGGCGUGCUUAACACAUGCAAGUCGAACGGGUCUGCCCUGUUUUUUGCGGGGUGGGUCAGUGGCGAACGGGUGAGUAACACGUGAGUAACCUGCCCCUCACUUCUGGAUAACCGCUUGAAAGGGUGGCUAAUACGGGGUGUUCUGGCUGUGCCGCAUGGUGUGGCUGGGAAAGAUUCACUUUUGUGGUGUUUUGGUGGGGGAUGGGCUCGCGGCCUAUCAGCUUGUUGGUGGGGUGAUGGCCUGCCAAGGCUUUGACGGGUAGCCGGCCUGAGAGGGUGGGCGGUCACACUGGGACUGAGAUACGGCCCAGACUCCUGCGGGAGGCAGCAGUGGGGGGUAUUGCACAAUGGGCGGAAGCCUGAUGCAGCGACGUCGCGUGAGGGAUGGAGGCCUUCGGGUUGUGAACCUCUUUCGCCGGUGAAGAAGGUCCUGCUCUUUGUGGGGGGGUUGACGGUAGCCGGGUUAUGAAGCGCCGGCUAACUACGUG